rnacentral:tRNA from 1 species
GCCUGGAUGGCUCAGUCGGUUAAGCGUCUGACUUCGGCUCAGGUCAUGAUCUCGCGGUGCGUGGGUUCGAGCCCCGCGUCGGGCU